GAUGAACGCUGGCUACAGGCUUAACACAUGCAAGUCGAGGGGAAACGGCAUUGAGUGCUUGCACUGAAUGGACGUCGACCGGCGCACGGGUGAGUAACGCGUAUCCAACCUUCCCGUUACUGCGGGAUAACCUGCCGAAAGGCAGACUAAUACCGCAUGUUCUUCGAUGACGGCAUCAGAUUCGAAGCAAAGAUCCGUCGGUAACGGAGGGGGAUGCGUCUGAUUAGCUGGUUGGCGGGGCGACGGCCCACCAAGGCGACGAUCAGUAGGGGUUCUGAGAGGAAGGUCCCCCACAUUGGAACUGAGACACGGUCCAAACUCCUACGGGAGACAGCAGUGAGGAAUAUUGGUCAAUGGGCGGAAGCCUGAACCAGCCAAGUAGCGUGCAGGAGGACGGCCCUACGGGUUGUAAACUGCUUUUAUGCGGGGAUAAAGUGAGGGACGCGUCCCUUUUUGCAGGUACCGCAUGAAUAAGGACCGGCUAAUUCCGUGCCAGCAGCCGCGGUAAUACGGAAGGUCCGGGCGUUAUCCGGAUUUAUUGGGUUUAAAGGGAGCGUAGGCCGGGGAUUAAGUGUGUUGUGAAAUGUAGGCGCCCAACGUCUGACUUGCAGCGCAUACUGGUUCCCUUGAGUACGCGCAACGCCGGCGGAAUUCGUCGUGUAGCGGUGAAAUGCUUAGAUAUGACGAAGAACCCCGAUUGCGAAGGCAGCCGGCGGGAGCGCAACUGACGCUGAAGCUCGAAGGUGCGGGUAUCGAACAGG
rnacentral:rRNA from 1 species